rnacentral:rRNA from 1 species
GUAGGGACCAAGCGUUAUCCGGAAUUAUUGGGCGUAAAGGGUGCGUAGGCGGCCAUGUAAGUCUAAGUUAAAAGCCCACAGCUUAACUGUGGAAGGUGCUUAGAAACUGUAUGGCUUGAAUUCAGAAGAGGCAAGUGGAAUUCUAUGUGGAGCGGUGGAAUGCGUAGAUAUAUGGAGGAACACCAGUGGCGAAGGCGGCUUGCUGGGCUGAUAUUGACGCUGAUGCACGAAAGCGUGGGGAGCAAACAGGAUUAGAUACCCUGGUAGUCCACGCCCGUAAACGAUGAGUACUAAGUGUUGGAGAAAUUCAGUGCUGAACUUAACAGAUUAAGUACUCCGCCUGGGAUUACGACCGCAAGGUUG